GCGGAGCCGGAGAGCAGUGAUUGGUCAGACUGGCUGACAGCCGAGGACUUCCUGUCCCGCCCUCAUUUACGGACUUCUGCUGUUUACCGAGGCUGCUGCUGCUAACACCGUUAGCUUCCAAAAGUCGAGCUAAACUCCACAGGAAAGUCAUUUUUGUAGCUAGUUGUAGUCUUCUCCACAUCUGGACAACAUCACACAUAAAGCAGUGAAGUUACUUCUUGUUUUGGAUCAUUGGGAACAUCUGGUCUGAUGGACUGAGAGCUCCAGAGAACAUGAACAUCCAGCUGUGGUUGUCUGAAGAGUCUUCUCUCCUUCAUCACUGAUGUCCUCCUCAUCCUUCCAUUAAUAACAAUAAUGCUGCAGAUUCAGCUCCUCUCUUCAGAAUACAACUGGUCUUGUGACUGUUCAGUUUUUAUACAUCAAUGUCAGCAACACAUGAUUUAUUUCAUGUGUUUAAACAUCUUUACAGUUCAAAAUUGUUAAAGAAUGUAGUUUUUAAAUGUAUAAUAAAGGAAAUAAUGAAGCUGUU